AUUGAACGCUGGCGGCAGGCCUAACACAUCCAAGUCGAACGAGCGGCGGACGGGUGAGUAAUGUCUGGGAAACUGCCUGAUGGAGGGGGAUAACUACUGGAAACGGUAGCUAAUACCGCAUACCCUCGGAUGUGCCCAGAUGGGAUUAGCUAGUAGGUGGGGUAAAGGCUAACCUAGGCGACGAUCCCUAGCUGGUCUGAGAGGAUGACCAGCCACACUGGAACUGAUACGCGGGCCAGACUCCUACGGGAGGCAGCAGUGGGUAAUAGUGCACAAUGGGCGCAAGCCUGAUGCAGCCAUGCCGCGUGUAUGAAGAAGGCCUUCGGGUUGUAAAGUACUUUCAGCGGGGAGGCGUUACGCGCAGAAGAAGCACCGGCUAACUCCGUGCCAGCCGCCGCGGUAAUUC
rnacentral:rRNA from 1 species